rnacentral:lncRNA from 1 species
AAAACAUAACUCAGCAGCUCUGACUCUGGAGGGGAGUAGAGAUACACCUCAUCAACAGAAAUGCUUUUGAUUUUAAUCAUGUUUUCUGUGUUUGUAAUAAACUAAACCAAAACAUGGAAUGAAGUGUUUCCAAAGCAGGGAUGUCUGAAUCCUUAUUUUAUCUUCAGGUGUUGCAGUCCUGGCUCAGCCUGAACGUUGUUGGUUUGCUCGUGUGGCAUUAAGUUGGUCACAGACUUUCUGUAAGCCUCCUUUGAUCGUGUUUCUUUCCAUGCCAGUUUCCCAAUAUGCAGAAAGGUGGGUUUCACUUUGCUGAAGACUCCUCUCACAGACAUCCAUCCUGUAUUACAAUAUCAUCAUCGAACUGGUGCAAGAUUGAAACAUCCCCAUUGUGAAGUCAGGUCUCAACUCUAGCAGACAUUGUAGCUGAGGUUGGACAGCUGAAUCAGGGUGGGUGUAAUUCCCAGGCUCCCAGGAGUCCACAGCAGGAUUUGUAUCAUCCAGUAUACUACAAAAACACAGUUUGGCAGAUGCCCACAUUUGCUGACACAAGAAGGUGCCCCAGGAAUCAAGAGGACAAGUGACGAUAUAUUUGAUGCAGACACCAAGGAAGACCACGCAGUCAUCCACAGAGCCUUCAGCCCCCCAGCAUCUCAUGGCCAUCUCAGGAGCAGGGGCUGGCUGCGCUUUUCACAGCAAGGGGCAGGAUCCUGCCCUGGGUGCAUGGGACCAGACCUCCACUGGGAACAAAAUGAAGGUCUGCCGGAAUUAAUCCUGGGCUUCGUUAUCACUCCUGCACAUCACUGCGCUUUGUGGCUGGCCUGGGCCAGCUAACUGCGCCGCAAAAGUGUGUGAAGAAAGAUGGUAUCAGCCUCUAUCUGUCUAAGCCAGAAACAGGCAAUACCAGAAAAGCCUGUCUUGUCCAAUUUCCAGUUCAGCUUUGCAGACUCGAGAAGUGCAGAUAGUUUGGACAUGCUUUAGAUAAGAAGCUGAAUAUCUGGGCGUUUUCCUGAGCACAGAACGCUACGCUUCAUACAGUUUACUAAAUUGUGUCACUAAAUUUUUAUCCUUCCUGGUAAUAGACUUUUUUUUUUUUUUUUUUUCCUUCAGUGUUUCUUUUCCCUCCCUCCCAGCCACAUUGUUGGUAAAUGCACAAAUAUAUGCAUACAACCAUCAGCGUACACACUCUGGUUGCCUUAGUACCAAACUGUGCAUCUUUGCUCAGUGCGCUCAGCUUCUUCAGAAACAAAACUGUGAAGUCAAGAGCAGGGGUGCAGCUGCUCACAUGCUCACAAAGCUCCGGGCCCAAUGUGAGAAUUCACUUUUAAACACAUGAUGAAAAAACAGCUCUUGCCUCCUUGUCUUUGUAGAAAAAUCC